rnacentral:rRNA from 1 species
UGGGGAAUAUUGCACAACGGGCGAAAGCCUGAUGCAGCAACGCCGCGUGAGGGACGACGGCCUUCGGGUUGUAAACCUCUUUUAGCAAGGAAGAAGCGAAAGUGACGGUACUUGCAGAAAAAGCGCCGGCUAACUACGUGCCAGCAGCCGCGGUAAUACGUAGGGCGCAAGCGUUAUCCGGAAUUAUCGGGCGUAAAGAGCUCGUAGGCGGUUUGUCGCGUCUGCUGUGAAAACCCGAGGCUCAACCUCGGGCCUGCAGUGGGUACGGGCAGACUAGAGUGCGGUAGGGGAGAUUGGAACUCCUGGUGUAGCGGUGGAAUGCGCAGAUAUCAGGAAGAACACCGAUGGCGAAGGCAGAUCUCUGGGCCGUAACUGACGCUGAGGAGCGAAAGGGUGGGGAGCAAACAGGCUUAGAUACCCUGGUAGUCCACCCCGUAAACGUUGGGAACUAGUUGUGGGGUCCAUUCCACGGAUUCCGUGACGCAGCUAACGCAUUAAGUUCCCCGCCUGGGGAGUACGGCCGCAAGGCUAAACUCAAAGGAAUUGACGGGGUCAUAGCUGUUUCCU